UACGAAGGGUGCAAGCGUUGUUCGGAUUUACUGGGCGUAAAGGGCGCGUAGGCGGACACAUUAGUUAGGGGUGAAAUCCCGGGGCUUAACCUCGGAACUGCCUUUGAUACGGUGUGUCUAGAGAGCUAGAGGGGAUAACGGAAUACCCAGUGUAGAGGUGGAAUUCGUAGAUAUUGGGUAGAACACCAGUGGCGAAAGCGGUUAUCUGGCUAGCAACUGACGCUGAGGCGCGAAAGCGUGGGGAU
rnacentral:rRNA from 1 species